GACGAACGCUGGCGGCGUGCCUAAUACAUGCAAGUUGAGCGCUGAAGGUUGGUACUUGUACCGACUGGAUGAGCAGCGAACGGGUGAGUAACGCGUGGGGAAUCUGCCUUUGAGCGGGGGACAACAUUUGGAAACGAAUGCUAAUACCGCAUAAAAACUUUAAACACAAGUUUUAAGUUUGAAAGAUGCAAUUGCAUCACUCAAAGAUGAUCCCGCGUUGUAUUAGCUAGUUGGUGAGGUAAAGGCUCACCAAGGCGAUGAUACAUAGCCGACCUGAGAGGGGGAUCGGCCACAUUGGGACUGAGACACGGCCCAAACGCCUACGGGAGGCAGCAGUAGGGAAUCUUCGGCAAUGGACGAAAGUCUGACCGAGCAACGCCGCGGGAGUGAAGAAGGGUGUCGGAUCGUAAAACUCGGUUGGUAGAGAAGAACGUUGGUGAGAGUGGAAAGCUCAUCAAGUGACGGUAACUACCCAGAAAGGGACGGCUAACUACGUG
rnacentral:rRNA from 1 species